rnacentral:rRNA from 1 species
UUGAUCCUGGCUCAGAAUCAACGCUGGCGGCGUGCCUAAUACAUGCAAGUCGAACGCGAAAGUCCCGCAAGGGAUGAGUAGAGUGGCAAACGGGUGAGUUACGCGUGGGUGACCUGCCUUCGAGUGGGGGAUAACGUCUCGAAAGGGACUCUAAUACCGCAUAACAUCCUGUCUUUUAAGAGAUGGUGAUCAAAGCCGGUGAUCGCAAGACCUGGCGCUGGAAGAGGGGCCCGCGUCCGAUUAGCUAGUUGGUGGGGUAACGGCUCACCAAGGCAUCGAUCGGUAGCCGGCCUGAGAGGUCGGACGGCCACACUGGGACUGAGACACGGCCCAGACUCCUACGGGAGGCUGCAGUAGGGAAUUGUUCGCAAUGGGCGCAAGCCUGACGACGCAACGCCGUGUGGAGGAUGAAGACCUUCGGGUCGUAAACUCCUUUCGAUCGAGACGAAUGAUCUCCGGGUGAACAAUCCGGAGAAAUGACGGUACCGAGAGAAGAAGCUCCGGCUAACUCCGUGCCAGCAGCCGCGGUAAUAAGGU